CACGUAGGGCGCAAGCGUUGUCCGGAAUUAUUGGGCGUAAAGAGCUCGUAGGCGGUCUGUUGCGUCCGCUGUGAAAACCCGGGGCUUAACCCUGGGCUGGCAGUGGAUACGGACAGACUAGAGGUAGGUAGGGGAGAAUGGAAUUCCCGGUGUAGCGGUGAAAUGCGCAGAUAUCGGGAGGAACACCAGUGGCGAAGGCGGCGAUCUGGGAAGAUACUGACGCUGAGGUGCGAAAGCGUGGGGAGCAAACAGG
rnacentral:rRNA from 1 species